rnacentral:rRNA from 1 species
AACGAACGCUGGCGGCAUGCCUAACACAUGCAAGUCGAACGAGACCUUCGGGUCUAGUGGCGCACGGGUGCGUAACGCGUGGGAACCUGCCCUUAGGUUCGGAAUAACUCCCCGAAAGGGGUGCUAAUACCGGAUAAUGUCGUCGGACCAAAGAUUUAUCGCCUUUGGAUGGGCCCGCGUUGGAUUAGCUAGUUGGUAGGGUAAAAGCCUACCAAGGCGACGAUCCAUAGCUGGUCUGAGAGGAUGAUCAGCCACACUGGGACUGAGACACGGCCCAGACUCCUACGGGAGGCAGCAGUGGGGAAUAUUGGACAAUGGGCGAAGGCCUGAUCCAGCAAUGCCGCGUGAGUGAUGAAGGCCUUAGGGUUGUAAAGCUCUUUUACCCGGGAUGAUAAUGACAGUACCGGGAGAAUAAGCUCCGGCUAACUCCGUG